rfam:Sus scrofa isolate TJ Tabasco breed Duroc chromosome 1, whole genome shotgun sequence.
CCACAUAGCAUUGUACACAGAGUCUGUCCCCAGACCUUGCAUCUGGCACCAUUUAGGCUGGAAUUAAGGUGGUUU